rnacentral:rRNA from 1 species
UGAAUACGAGAUGCUACGGCGUCGAAGCAGUCUAUGUCAGACUUCCAAGAAAAGCUUGCACUGUCAAAAACAAAUAAUGCCUGUACCAUAACCGACACAGGUGGGUAGGUAGAGUAUACUAGGGGGCGCGAGAUAACUCUCUCUAAGGAACUCGGCAAAAUGACUCCGUAACUUCGGGAGAAGGAGUGCCUUAUUUUUAAGGUUGCAAUAACAAGAUCCAAGCAACUGUUUACCAAAAACACAGGUCUCCGCGAAGUCGUAAGACGAUGUAUGGGGGCUGACGCCUGCCCAGUGCCAGAAGGUUAAAGAAGUUGGUUAGCAUUCGCGAAGCUGAUAACUGAAGCCCUGGUGAACGGCGGCCGUAACCAUAACGGUCCUAAGGUAGCGAAAUUCCUUGUCGGGUAAGUUCCGACCCGCACGAAAGGCGUAAUGAUUUGGAUACUGUCUCGGAGAGGGGCUCGGUGAAAUAGACUUGUCUGUGAAGAUGCGGACUACCUGCACCUGGACAGAAAGACCCUAUGAAGCUUUACUGUAACUUGAAAUUGAAAUUGGACUUUAUUUGCGCAGUAUAGGUGGGAGGCCUUGAGAAGGAUCUUGCGGGAUUCUUGGAGCCAUCAGUGAGAAACCACUCUUGUAAUGUUAGAUUUCUAACUUUGUAUCAUUCUCUGGUCAAAGAACAGUUUCAGGCGGGCAGUUUGACUGGGGCGGUCGCCUCCCAAACGGUAACGGAGGCGCACAAAGGUUUCCUCUGAACGGGUAGAAAUCGUAUCUAGAGUGUAAAGGCAUAAGGAAGCUUGACUGUGAGACCUACAAGUCGAGCAGGGACGAAAGUCGGUCUUAGUGAUCUGACGGUGCUGAGUGGAAAGGCCGUCACUCAACGGAUAAAAGUUACUCUAGGAUAACAGGCUGAUCUCCCCCAAGAGUUCACAUCGACGGGGAGGUUUGGCACCUCGAUGUCGGCUCAUCGCAUCCUGGGGCGGUAGUACGUCCCAAGGGUUGGGCUGUUCGCCCAUGAAAGCGGUACGCGAGCUGGGUUCAGAACGUCGUGAGACAGUUCGGUCCAUAUCCGGUGUAGGCGUUAGAAUAUUGAGAGGAGCCUUCUCUAGUACGAGAGGACCGAGAAGGACAUACCUCUGGUGUACCAGUUAUCGUGCCAACGGUAAACGCUGGGUAGCUAUGUAUGGAGUGGAUAACCGCUGAAAGCAUCUAAGUGCGAAGCCAACCUCAAGAUAA